AGCAGCCGCGGUAAUUCCAGCUCCAAUAGCGUAUAUUAAAGUUGUUGCAGUUAAAAAGCUCGUAGUUGAAUUUCGGGGUUAGUAAGUUGGUCAUGCCUCCGGUAUGUACUGGCUUUACUGAUUCCUCCUUCUUGAUGAACUGUAAUGUCAUUAAUUUGGUGUUGCAGGGAAUCAGGACUGUUACUUUGAAAAAUUAGAGUGUUUAAAGCAGGCAUACGCUUGAAUACAUUAGCAUGGAAUAAUGAAAUAGGACGUUUGAUCCUAUUUUGUUGGUUUCUAGGAUUGACGUAAUGAUUAAUAGGGAUAGUUGGGGGCAUUAGUAUUCAAUUGUCAGAGGUGAAAUUCUUGGAUUUAUUGAAGACUAACUACUGCGAAAGCAUUUGCCAAGGAUGUUUUCAUUAAUCAAGAACGAAAGUUAGGGGAUCGAAGACGAUCAGAUACCGUCGUAGUCUUAACCAUAAACUAUGCCGACUAGGGAUCGGAUGAUGUUAUUUUUAAUGACUCAUUCGGCG
rnacentral:rRNA from 1 species